rnacentral:snRNA from 1 species
GGAUAUGAGGGUGAUCCGGCUGUGGUAUUUGUUACCCCACUGAUCGUCAGGGAUUCGGCUGAUCUGGCUGGCUAAGUGGGUGUCCCCUUCCUCCCUCACAGCUCCAUGGACGUCCCUCCUGAAGCUAAGUGCUGGUUGAAGAGGAUGACCUUCCCUGAAUAGAGGACUGGUCUUUGGUCAAGGGUAUACAAACAGCUGCGCUCCCCUGGUAGAACCUCCAAACAAGCUAUCAAGACUAAAACAAUCCAAGACUGUCAAAACUGGUGCUAAGGAAUGCAAGGAGUAAUUAUUCAGUUCUCUCUCUUAGGAGUAUUUGAAAUUUUUCCAUAA